AGUAAAGUGGCCGAGAUUAGGCAAAAGAUUGUAGCUCUUUUCACGGGCCAUCCCCUUUACAA
rnacentral:tRNA from 1 species